UCUGGUGACGAUGGCGAAGGGGAAACACCCGUUCCCAUUCCGAACACGGCAGUUAAGCCCUUCAGCGCCGAUGGUACUGCAUGGGUGACUGUGUGGGAGAGUAGGACGUUGCCAGGA
rnacentral:rRNA from 1 species